rnacentral:rRNA from 1 species
UACGAGGGGGGCGAGCGUUGUUCGGAAUUAUUGGGCGUAAAGGGUGCGUAGGCGGUUUGGUAAGUCUGAUGUGAAAUCUAUGGGCUCAACUCAUAGUCUGCAUCGGAAACUGCCGGGCUUGAGUGUGGGAGAGGUGAGUGGAAUUCCUGGUGUAGCGGUGAAAUGCGUAGAUAUCAGGAGGAACACCUGUGGCAAAAGCGGCUCACUGGACCAUAACUGACGCUGAUGCACGAAAGCUAGGGGAGCAAACAGG